GGUCUGGUCUGAGAUCAGUGGAAUCUGUGCUCUCUCAACUAACGUUACUGCUGUCAACUCACUGGGUGGUGCAGCGUCAUAGGUUGCAGUACGUGGAGAAAGCAGAUGUGACAUGGCCAGCAAAAAAACAAUUUAAACUGUUUGGCUUUUUCAAGCGAAAGGCAAAGGAUCUCUGGCAUAGAUCAAACAACAAGAGCCGUCAGGUGAUGGAGAGAGAAGGGAGAUCAACAGAAGGAGAACAUUUGCUUAAUGAUACAUUACAUGCAACCUCACACUUAAACAUGACCCAGUGGUCAUCUGGAUUUUGGGGAAAUACCAGAAGGGCCACCCAUCAAAUGGGCCACUCAGAAUGCUCCGUAUCACUGGCAAACGUAGCCUACCAUUGGCGUGGUGCAGGAACACACUACACCCAAGUAGGCAGGCCCUCUUUAUUUCCACAUGAGGCCUCCAUGUUUACCAACUUCAGCCAUCAUAAUUUUCAGCUCAAUCUAGUAGUUUAUCAAUUACUAUAAACUUUAUGAUUUGAUCAUUACUAGACAGCUGACUGCUAUACAAUUUUCCUGUCCUGUACAUCACGGUCAUAGUGUAUCCUACCCAUCAAAGGAUUAAGGAAUAAGUGACAUUACUCUGAAACUUAAGAUAAAUAUGUGUAGAAUUGCUAUCCUAGUUUUGAUACCAUGAAUUAUAAACCCAAUAUGAAAAUUGUUAACAAUUAAUUAGUAUUUUGGCA